rnacentral:rRNA from 1 species
GACGAACGCUGGCGGCGUGCUUAACACAUGCAAGUCGAACGGAAAGGCCCUGCUUUUGUGGGGUGCUCGAGUGGCGAACGGGUGAGUAACACGUGAGUAACCUGCCCUUGACUUUGGGAUAACUUCAGGAAACUGGGGCUAAUACCGGAUAGGAGCUCCUGCUGCAUGGUGGGGGUUGGAAAUUUUCGGCGGGUGGGGAUGGACUCGCGGCUUAUCAGCUUGUUGGUGGGGUAGUGGCUUACCAAGGCUUUGACGGGUAGCCGGCCUGAGAGGGUGACCGGCCACAAUGGGCCUGCGAUACGGCCCAGACUCCUACGGGAGGCAGCAGUGGGGAAUAUUGCACAAUGGGCGGAAGCCUGAUGCAGCAACGCCGCGUGCGGGAUGACGGCCUUCGGGUUGUAAACCGCUUUCGCCUGUGACGAAGCGUUAGUGACGGUAAUGGGUAAAGAAGCACCGGCUAACUACGUG